GCUCCUGUUAUAUCAGCACCACCUUUUAUCCCAAAAAGCGGCACAGCUGCUCCUCCUACACUCACUUCACCAGCUCACUGUGCACAGACACCAGCAGAAAAGCAAAACCCUUCUACAAGAAAGGUCUACAGACCAACCUGACGGGGGGAAGAAGUGGAUCAGACAGUAUCGCCUGCUCUGCUGCAGAAGUCCACAUUAUGAGUUUAUUGGAAUUAAUAAAACACCAGCAGGAGCAAAUAAUUGCUAAAGUAAAUUAUAUUUCGAGCAAGUUGAACCCGGCAGCCUAAGACAUGGAAAUGCCUGACAACCCAGUGGAUUUUCCAUUAACAUCAAUGGAGGAAGUGGAGAAUUUUGAGGAGUGGCUCAGAAAUCCCACAAAUAAUAAUCAUAUAAAGUUGAGUGUGAUUUCUUCCCUUGCAACUGUUGGGGGCCAUGACACAAAACGUGUCACCUGGAACAUCCUUUCCCACAUGUCCAUGAUGACGUUGGGAGGAGGAUCAACUGGAAGAGCGUGAAUGGGAAAAAAGCAUUCAGCCAGAUGGAGUCCAAGAAGUUCCUCCCGUGUAAGUAAAUGUGGGAAUGUCAGCAGGAGCAAACAGUUCUGACUCACACAUAACGAGCAGGUACGACACACCUAGGGCGAGGGGAGGUUUCCACUAGUUAUUCAAUCGCAGAUGGUUUCAUUAUCUUGGCCGGAUACAAAAGUCUUAACAAAACUGUGAAUAAAUAAAACUGUUUGAAAAAAAGUGUGGCCUUCUCUCUCAAAACAAACAGUUGAAAGGGAUAUUUUAGCUACAAAGUUUGCACACACAUUCACAUGAACUAAUUCGUGCUCAACUUAUGUAAAAUGGCUAUUUUUGCUCAAAAUAGAUAUUCUUUUUUUCACAAAACACAUUAAGGAGGAACAGAUCUUUUAACCAGAGUAUCAGAAUAGCUCGCCUCUCCUUACCCACACUUCUUCUUCUGCUUCUAGCUUUUUAUUGCGGUUGGCAAACAAACAAAAAGGUGCAUUCCCGUCACCUACUGAGCUGGAGAGUAAUUCACUGAUGAAACGGGAAGAAAAACUAAGCUGAGAGAAAGAGAAAGUAAAAAAAAAAACUUAUGGAAAGCACCAGAAAUAAUAAACUGGCCUCCAAUUCUUCUUAAACAGGUGAAUCUUUCUUAAAUAUUUUAAUAAUACUUUAUAUACUCUAUAACUUCCAAGUCAUUAUUCAGCAUAAUAUUUCCUAUCCCCAUUUCUUUUAACACUUUCACCAGUAUUAUCCUUUCAUUUUGAUAAGCAGUGCAAUAUACUAAUAGAUGUUCUACAGUUUCUGCUAAUCCACAUAGACUGCAAUUCCCAGACUCGUGUUUGUUCAUUUUAUACAGGGAAUAAUUUAAGAGCUGUAUGCCCAAGUCAAAGUCUGCUAAUGAUUGUGUCUUCUCUUCUAGUGCCACAACUUCCUCUUUCAUCACCAAUUUUAUUUUGAAUCUGAAGAUGUCUUCCCCUUUCCUCUUCAUUCCAUUGUACUUGCCAUUUGCCUUUUAUAGCUGUUCUAAUUAUAGCCUUAACUUCUUUAUACAGUGGAAUAUUCAGUUCUAUAGAAGAUUACGUCUCCUUUACUAGACGAUCCACUUUCUCAUUUCAGUCUACUCCCACAUGUACACAUGAAACACAUAUUGCUUCCCCAUGAAUUUAACUUGCACAGAAUUUUUAUCUUAUACAAAACAGUUUCAUAUAGAAUAUGUUGUCUUGAGGAUCUUCCACUAAUUCGACUUUAUAAUGCUGAGAAAGAAUCUGAGCAUAUCACAGCAGCCAUCUCUGUUGUGAAUCCUUAUUUAUAACCCUAUAUUAUAUCAUUAAUAUUUUCUUUUGCAUGUAAUAGACUCCUGUCUACUAAUUGUAAAUAGAUAAGCCAUGGUGACAUGCCAAACUUUACAGAAGAAAAAAUACAAUUUAAUAAUACAACAUUUGGUUCACUGACGAGGGCUUCAUGUUAAUCCGUCUCUGCUGCAGUAUGUGACCACAAAUACUGAAAGCCCUCUCGGAUGGUGCACUGGAAGCUGUAAUGAAAAGUACAUGGCGUGUUACUUUGCUUAAUCUCGCAAAUUCUUGACAUUGUCUUUUCCACCACUGGAGGACAUCCAACUUUAUCCCUUAAAUAUCUCGCUAUGUUCUUAUCUUUUUUCUUAAGAUUGUUCUUAAGACAAAACCUAAGAAGAAUUUAAAUUCUUGAAUAUAAUCUUCUUAAAAAUCAUUACACUGCUGUUAUUUUGCAUAUAAUAGAUU